CGUCCCUCCUCCUUCCCCAAGUCAACCUCACAUCCCAGGCCUGGGGAGCUAUUCUCUCGCAAGAAAGGAGUGAGACGUGAUCCGAGACCUGCGGCAAGGGGCGUGUUUCGGAAAGGGUGUGGAGGGAGACCUGGGGCGGGGCCUGUUUCCCAGUCACGCGACCUAGGAGCCGCCCGAGGAUUGGUCCUGACUACACGCUGGGAGAAAAGGAGG